rnacentral:lncRNA from 1 species
AUCCUAGGGGGGACCGCAAUCAUCCCAACCAUACAAUUCUUAAUCAAAGGGUCAAAAAUUCGAAAACAUCAAAUCCUCUAUAUUUUCGAUAGCAUAGUAUAUCUUAACUAUAUAUAUAUAUAUAUAUAUAUAUAUAUAUAAUUGAGCUCCUAUGCUUUUAAAAGUACCAAGACAUUAGUGCUUGUAAGUUUUAGCCUUUAGAUUAAAAAAUAUGUGGUUAGGAUGAUGUGGGCCCCCUAGGGUUGAGUGGGUGGUUGGUUGAAUAGUAUAAUCUAACGGGUGUAAAUGAUCAACAGUGCUGAUCUAACGGUUAAAAACCUACAAGCACAAAGUGAUUGGUGCUUUUACAAGCACCAUAGCCGGACUCUAUAUAUAUAUAUAUAUAUAUAUAUAUAUAUAUAUAUAUAUAGAACUAGGCUACUAUACUAUCGGUAGCACGGAGCGCUCCGUGCUACCAAGUUGUUUUAGAUGAUGCGGCUUCCAAAUCGACGAUCGGCUCUGUUAGACUUGAUCUACAUUAUUAAAAAUAUUUAGAAACUAAAUUUCAUAAUUUUUCGAUAUCAUUUACCUAUCAAACAAGUAGUCUAAAAUUGAACGGCUGAAAAGAAUAGGCCAUUAAAAUAGUGAAAAGAAUAGGCCAUUAAAAUAGGCCAUUAGAAUAGGCCAUUAAUUCAAGAUCAGGUAUACUGAUUUUACUUUAAAUAGUGAAAAGAAUUUUCUAUAAAAUUCUCAUCGCAUUUGGAUUGUUUUACAUCGUUAAACUCACAAACACACCACAUCGGCCAUUAAAAUUGUCAAUUUUGAGAUCUUUUGAUCACUAAUCAAAUGAUGUCGAAAAAAUCUGAAAUUUAGUUUCCAAAUACUUUCAAUAGUGUAGAUCAAGUCUAACGGAGCCGAUCAUCGAUUUGGAAGCCGCAUCAUCGAAAACAACUUGGUAGCACGGGGCGCUCCAUUCUACCGAUAGCAUAGUAGCCGGACUCUAUAUAUAAUAUUUAUUAUUUUAUUAAAAAAAAUAUAAAUAUAAUAUAUUUAAUUAUAUAUAGGCUGAGUGAAUAAUCUGAGUUUAGUUAAAAUUGGGCCAAUGUGUUGACCCAUAAAAACAAACCCAAUAAACAAAUAAAGAGCAAAAUUUCACUAAUUUAUACUUUUUCCUAUUUCUUUCUUUGACAGAGCUCUAAAUUUUCAAUAUGUUUCUCUCUUUUCUCUUUUUCUGUCACUCACCCUAAGUGGCCAAGCCGGAAGCCCUCCAUAUUACUAAGUAACAGCAUAUACUCGCCGUUGCCUACCUUGCUAUUAAUUGUAUGCUUGAGAAAAAAUAUACAUAUAUUUUUAAAGUAAAAAAUUAUUAUUCAUAUAAAAUUUUAAUUUUAGUUAUAUAUGAUUGGAUAGUUUAAUCCAAUAUUUAUCUGUAUAAUUUAUUUAUUUUUGACUGCAUAAAUAAAAAUGAAUAAUAUGGAGAUUGAAGGCGGAAGAAAAGAUAUGUGAGGCUGAAAAGAUUAGAUAUUCAACUCAUAAAUUAUUUUUUUUUCAUAUUAUAAUACUAUAUUUCAUAUAAUUAUUUUGUACUUUGAACUAUUAGACAUAUUUUUGUAUCAAAUUAUAGAUAAUGUUCUAGACAAAUUAAACUACUGAUCGU